UUAGGAGUUUCCAACAUUCUCCUGAAGAUAUCAGGUUCAGUGUAAUUUACAAAUACCAACCAAAGAAAUUUGGGCAUGAGAAUGUUGAACAACUAUUGUUAAGAAUGGAGACUACUUUUAUAUAUAGAUUGAAUACAAUCAUCCAGUAUGGGCCCAAUUUGAUCUAAUUGGAGGUGUCCCCAGCUGGUAUGAAGCAUCCUAAUUGGUGCUGUGCUAUAUAUCUUCAAGCCCUUGAUGCUUGAAGGUUAGCAAGCUCCCCCCACCACACACACACCCCAAGGUAUAGGAGGAAAGGCUGCCUCCAUAAAGAUUUGUUUGUCCAGCUCAGGGAGGAGGAAAUUUGAAUAUUGUACUUCUCUGAAGAAGGACUAAUUCCGAAAUGGGCUCAAAAAUUCCGGGUUAGCCUAUAAGGACUUUUUUCACCAUUGCAAGACUUUAUUCUCAGGACUAUUUUGACCAUUGCAAGAAUUUAUUCUCAAACACAGAGAUAGGAAAUAAGUUUUUAUUCAAUUUUCUGAGAUGCUAUUUUUACAUAUGCAUGCGCAGAUACAAAUUGCAAGACAAUUGUUAUUGUUACUCAUUCAAGGAUUUUUUUCAUCAUUGCAAGACUUUAUUCUCAAUACAGAAAAGCAACAUGCUUUUUCACAUACUUAUGCUGUUCUUUCAAAUACAUGAAUGGUUGUGAAUUGAAUUUGUAUUCAUCCUCAACAAUGAUUUUUUGUUCAGUUUACUGAGAUGUAAUAUCUUUGACAUAUGUAUGUGCAGAUAUAACUUGCAAGACAAUUGUUAUUGCUAUUUAUUUACUCUAUGACUAUUAAUAUAGUAUCUUCAGUCACAGACAACAA